rnacentral:lncRNA from 1 species
AUGGAUUUGCAUUAAGGAUAGGUUGUCUUCUAAAUCAUGUAAAGGCUUAAACCAAUACAAUAUCAUUUCUCUACUUAUUUUUGGCAUGGCAAGUUGUUGGAACUUGGUUCACUAAUCAAGACUUCUAACAUGUGUUGUUGCCUACAUUAUUAUUGACCGACAUCAGAUAGUUGUGACUUCUACAUAAGUCCAAUUACGAUUGCUUAACAUAGCGCUAAAUUUUCCUUAUGGCACACUAACUACUAACACUAAUCAUUAACCAUUAACAUUUACUUUU